AUGUGUAGUUUACUCCUCUCUUUCUGCUUAUUGAAUGCCCUUAGAUAUUACAUAAAUUUACAUUUGUUCUUGUGUAAUCUCUUCUCACCAGGUUUGACCUCUCCUUUGACCCACAGCAGAGCAGUGAAUCCUACAUCAGGUUUGACCUCUCCUUUGGCCCCCAGCACAGCAGUGAAUCCUACAUCAGGUGUGUUGGUCAUCUUUAGUUGGUAAAACUGAAAAAGAUUGACUUAUAUUAUCUAAGCCAGGUAUUUCUAUAAAUUUUUUCAUCACAAAUGUGCCAAAUUACUAGAAAACAGGUUGAUAUUCGAUUGAUUAAAUCAUCCCAUUAAGAUACCUUAUUGUAUAACCAGAUCCAAUGACUUUGCUUUGCACCAGAUUUGACUGUUAGUACUACUUUGACAACUGACACCCCAAAGAGUCCAACUGAAAGUGAGUUUGGUGAUGUGUGUUAACUGUUAACAAACCGUCUCUCUCUUGUAUGUGCACAGGAGGUCAAAGCUCCACAGACAGCGUUGUGAAUUCAAACAGUCAAAAAAUAGUUUUGGGUAAGUAUCCUUAUUUAGUAAUCCCACAGCAAAAAUACACUUGUCUUUUCCUGCUAGAAUUGACUUUGCUGAUAACUACUUUGUUGAGGGAAAAUGUACUUGUGAUUGUGAUAUAUUGUUGCCUCAUCAAGGUAUCUUAAGAUGAAUGCACUAAUGUAAGUCGCUCUGGAUAAGAGCCUCUGCUAAAUGACUUGUCGUGGAAAUGUCCAUCAGUGGCACCUGAAGUCAAUAUUAAAUUAAUCAUUCUUUGUUAUCAGCAAGCAGGAGAGGUUCCAACAAACUUAAUGUACCAGAGUAAAUGUCGGUCGGGAGCUCCGCCGGAGAAGUCCCAUUAGUUCUCUUAUAUAGUGCUUAACCUGUCUGGGCUAGGGGGCAGUAUUUUCACGGCCGGAUGAAAAACGUACCCAAUUUAAACAGGUUACUACUCUGGCCCAGAAACUAGAAUAUGCAUAUUAUUACAUUUGGAUAAAACACUCUGAAGUUUCUAAAACUGUUUGAAUGGUGUCUGUGAGUAUAACAGAACUCAUAUGGCAGGCAAAAACCUGAGAAAAAUCCAAGCAGGAAGUGGAAAGUCUGAGAAUUGUAGUUCUUCUUUUGAUUCUCUAUCGAAGCUACAGUGUCUGUGGGGUGACGUUGCACUUCCUAAGGCUUCCAUUGGCUGUCUCUAGCCCUCAGAAAGUGGUUUGAGCAUUCUCCUGUCACUGGGCAGUUAAUAGGAGCUCAGUUACUGAGUGGUCUGCCUGGCAACAAAGGGAUUGGAUAUGCGCGGUCACACGAGCACGCCGUUCCUUCUUUUUCUUCUUGAAUGAAUAUGCUAUUGUCCAGUUGGAAUAUUAUUGCAAUUUUACGUUAAAAAUACCAUAAAGAUUGAUUUUAAACAGCGUUUGACAUGCUUCUAAGUACGGUAAUGGAACAUUUUGACCUUUCGUCUCUCGUUCUGCGCUCGCGCGUUAUGCCUUUGUGUGAUCUGUACGCAAGAACAAAACGGAGGUAUUUGUACAUAAAUAUUGAUUAUUUCUUACAAAAACAACAUUUCUUGUGGAAGUAGCAGGCCUGGGAGUGCAUUCUGACAAAGGUAAGAGAAUAUUUCUAAUACUAAUUCUGAGUUUAUGUUGCACCGAACUUGGCAGGUGUCUGAAUAGCUCACCGUGAUGGCUGAGCUAUGUACUCAGAAUAUUGAAAAAUGUUCUUUCUCUGUAAAGCUAUUUUAAAAUAUGACACAGCGGUUGCAUCCAGGGGUAGUCUAUCUAUAAUUCUUAAAAUAAUUUUUAUAUAUUUUGUCAACGUUUAUGGUGAGUAUUUUGGUAAAUUGAUGUGCACAUUCACCGGUCGUUUUGGUAGGAAUACAUUUUCAGAACAUCACGCUGCAAUGUAAAAUGCUGUUUUUGGAUAUAAAUAUGAACUUUAUCGAACAAAACAUACAUGUAUUGUGUAACAUAAUGUCCUAGGAGUGUCAUCUGAUGAAGAUCGUCAAAGGUUAGUGCUUCAUUUAGCUGUGUUUUGGGUUUUAUUGACACAUGUCCUUGCUUGGAAAAUGGCUGUGUGAUUAUUUUUGUCUAUGUACUCUCCUAACAUAAUCUAAUGUUUUGCUUUCGCUGUAAAGCCUUUUUGAAAUCGGACAAUGUGGUUACAUCAAGGACAAGUGUAUCUUUAAAAUGGUGUAAAAUAGUUGUAUGUUUCAGAAAGUUGAAUUAUGACAUUUUGUUGUUUUUUGAAUUUGCCGCCCUGAUAUUUCCCUGGCUGUGUCCCGCAGGUGGGACACUAGCGUCCCACAUUGCCCAUAGAAGUUAAACAGACAAGUUAUAUUUGCAAGAUUUAGUUUAUUUAUUAUUCAUAGUUAAUUCAUCAUUAACGUUUGGUUCAUGCAUGAGACCAACCAAUACCUCACGAGGCUUCUUCUCUUCAAGCUGAGACCUUGAAACUGAGACACCCCUUUCGGAUUUCAAAACAAUGUUCUUGGUGCACUGCCAAAUUGCUUAUACUGAUAGUGAAGCUUCCUCCCAGUCACGAUCAAUCAGUCACUUGCAUGAACCCAGUCUAAUUGGUUAUUAGAAAAGCACAAACAUAUUCAUUCACAGACUCAAAUUUAAAAUGUUUAGCUAACUAGCUGUCCUUUCUCACAUAUAUGAAAACGGAAACGUUUACCAAGACUAAUAAUAAUGUGGUAUUCUAACACCUGUCUACCAUUGAAGUAUUUACAUUUGGAUUAAGAGCUAAUGAACUCUUCUGAUGACAUCAUGUCACCAAACAGCAGUGCAAUUAUGGCAGGCAGCAGUGGGUAUGGCUUCUGGAGUGGGCGUGUUCCUGAUGGGAUUGACAGCUGUCUAUCUCUGCAGGAGGACCAGUGAGUACUUUUGAUUCUGCAUAACAAGUCAUUUGCAAACAUUUUCCUUCUCAUUAAUGUAAGUGCCUUUGACAUGGGUUAAUCUUUCAACUCCUUUUGGUGAUAUUGUGUAGUGUAGGCAAUAUUCAAUAUCAUUCAUUUAGCCUAAUUUGUUUUUCAGAGAAAACCAAUUCUCAGAGUUAAGAAUUCCCCUUGUGAAUAUGAUGCAGAUUGUAUCAACCUUUAGUUCUGUAUUAUCCAUGAUGAGAUGUUCUUACCACAACCUUCUUAUACUUUUAUGUUGUACAGACCUACAGCCAGACAGGAUGAUCAGAGCCAAUGUAUGUUCCAAAACAAAAUACAUCAAACACUGCACACACUACUAACACAACUACACACAUGCAUGUACAAACACAUAUUCUAAUUUCAUUUUCAUAUUGUUUCUGUUCUAGGUGAUUUGGUGAUGGGAGCUAUGAGCAGUGCAGCCAUGUUGGAUUCAAGGGAUGCUGGGAUCUAUUCUCUCAUCACCUCUAUACCGUCCACAUUUUUGCCCUCAGGUGAGUUUGUAACAGAAUGUCUUCUAUCCCCGUCUUCCUGACCUGGGAUGUGAAUUUGGGACCCUCAGCACAAUAACACUUAAUCACUCAAUGCCAACCAUACUGACUUACAUUUUUUAAUCAGAGCACCUUGAAAGCGUGAGAACAGAGCUGUAAGUCUCCAGGGUGGUUAGAUUCAGGACGAGAAGUGUGAAGUCACUUCUUCUGCCCCCCCCCCCCCCCACACACACAUACACAGACACACAACCUCUUACUUUGUCUCUCUCUGUGAGAUGCAGUUCCUGUGCAGGUAUCUGCAAAUGAAGAUGUAAGUACAGUAAAAAUAAUAACCUUGGAUAUAGAUACAUACUUGUUUUCGGACGGACAGACAGACAGUCUGAGGGAUAAUAAGGACCUUUCUCUCUCUCUUUCCUCCAGGCUGAUUCAGAGAAUGCAGGGGUCUACAACCUGAUCACUUCUGUACCAUCCACAUCUGUACCAUUAGGUUUGUCUAUUUAACUAUUUCCCACUGAUUCAUAACAUGUAGAGCUUUUUAUAGGACUCAAAGUUGUUUAGGCUUGGAUUUUGGUCUGAGGUAGUCAUAUCAGUAACCAUGUAUGUAUAUAAGUUAAUAUAUACAUAAGAUAAUGUGUUAGUGCAUGAGAAUAGAGCUGUAC
rnacentral:lncRNA from 8 species